AGGAGACACAGCAAAAGGCACUCACGUCUCAAUUCAGGGGAACGCAAGCAGCGCGUGACCGGCGAGCGAGCUUGCUUCUCGAGCAGAUCUCUCUAACACAUUCUUUGAAGAAAUAUCUCUGUUUUCUUGUCUCAUAUCCAUCUUCCUGCCUUCCCUCACUUCUCCUCACAUGGCGUUCCUCUUGAUCCUGUUCGUCUCUUGUUUAGCGGAUUCGCUCCUUCCCUUUUGUGUCACCUGCCUUUUCUCGCUGUCUCCUGGGGUCUCCCAUCCUCCCGCCUCGGUUUCUUCGCCUUCCCACUUGUUUUCUCUUCCGUCUCUUGUGUGUUUCGCUUUUCCCCAUGCCUGGUCCUCUCUUCCCUCUCUAUUUGGUCACUACCUUCGUCUGUUCCGUGCCAUCGUCGUGUUCUUUUCUCUUUUUCUGGGGCUUCGAGUUCCUUCUACCGUCUGCUCUGACCUCCACGCUUCCGUUUUCGCUGUUGCUCCUCAGUUUCGCGUUUACUUCGUCUCUGCUGCAUCUAUGCUUUCUCGAUGUAAACCCGCACGGCGGUUGCCACUGACAAGAAUCAGAGCUCACCAUCGCUGCAGAGCUAAACGGGACAACGGCAUGUGUCAGCGAAAUGGCUCAUGAAUGAGGAAGGCAUAUAUAGAGGAUGUGCGUGGCGUACAUACUUUGGAAACGAGAACGAUGUGUGAGGAGAAUCGGGACGUUUUUCGGGGGGGGGUAAGAGGGGGAAGCAGGCGGCAAGGCGGAGAAGUCAAAUACAGGAUUAGGUGGGGAACUUUGACGAAAAUGUUUUACGCUUACCCUUAACUUGACAGCUUGCCGUUAUCCCUUCAGGUGAAAAAAAGGCAUGGAGGCAUGUCAUUUUCGUACUAACUGGGGGAUGCUUCGUCCACUGCCUGAGACACUGCAGAGUUCAGACGUCGCAGGAUACCAUAACCAUAAGGGGCCUGAACCGCAAAGUGACGCGGGAGGUCGCUGGGUCACUUGCUGCGCACGGGCACACGCCCCUGAUCCACGGGGCAUGACGGUCCGCGUGCGUUUGACACAACUGCAGCAUCCACCGUUGUCCAAAAUUGUCUGAAGUUAGACGCAGAAUGCCAGCUCCCUCCCAAUUCGACUGGGGUGUACAGACACCGCAGCGCAUCCCUCGCGGCCGCAGUUGCUUUCCGUAAGCAGCGGCGUUCUGAAUAAGUUCCCCCACGUGUCACAGAACGCCGCUCUUUGGUCUGGCCGGAAUCUGCCCAUCAGAUGCUUUCUUUUUAUUUCUGUCGAGUGAGUGGACACACGAACCCCGCAGAAACCGAGCAGCACGCUCGAGGUUUCAGGAAUCCGUCUCCGAAUCAAAACAGCACUUUAGGCAUGGUCAUCAUGCACGGACCCACGGCGACUUUCCAAGGAACUGUGGUGCAGAGUUCGGACGACCCUAAAAAUCAGCGGGGCUUCUCGGCGAAAUUGCGAUGUGAGGUAGCGGAGUGAAGGACGCGGGAGUUCCAGAAGAACAGUUCUCGUAGGCGACAGCAUGGUCUCUACAGUGACUGUUACCACCUGUCACGUGGGGACACUUUGAGUCUGUGCAAGUGAAUCUCUGGAGUGACAAGGGUUGUGAAAAGCGGUCAGGGUCCUCCAUCACAGCAGACUGGCCAUGAAUGCAGGGUGUCAGUUACACAGCAGACUACGCGCUCACGAAUUCUGUUUAGCUGUGAGUGGUCAACCGGCUACAACGGAUUGUUCCGAGGUACGGGUGCUUGCGAGGCCCUCAGCCGUGUGGGCGUUAGGAGACUUUCGUUUUCAGAACUCGUCUGCGGUUCUAGUUUUUCUACGGGACAGGCUGGGAAAAGGGAAUACAGCAGUAAACGAGCGAAUUCGCCUUGUUUGCUCCUCAUGAAAUACGGAGAAAGCAGCCAGUCGCCAGAGGGACCCGGUGUUCGAAGGAAACGCUGCACGGGAGCCACGCAAAUCAGAAACUUUCAAGUUCCCGUCACCGAAGCUCGACUUUCUGGCCCCAGAGUUGCAGGGAAAAUCCUUGUGCGCGUGG
rnacentral:lncRNA from 1 species